rnacentral:rRNA from 1 species
UCCGUAGGCGGUCUUAUAAGUCAGUGGUGAAAGCCCAUCGCUCAACGAUGGAACUGCCAUUGAUACUGUAAGACUUGAAUUUUUGUGAAGUAACUAGAAUAUGUAGUGUAGCGGUGAAAUGCUUAGAGAUUACAUGGAAUACCAAUUGCGAAGGCAGGUUACUACUAAUGGAUUGACGCUGAUGGACGAAAGCGUGGGUAGCGAACAGGAUUAGAUACCCUUGUA